rnacentral:rRNA from 1 species
UACGGGGGGGUAAGCGUUGUUCGGAAUUACUGGGCGUAAAGGGCUCGUAGGCGGCCAACUAAGUCAGACGUGAAAUCCCUCAGCUUAACUGGGGAACUGCGUCUGAUACUGGAUGGCUUGGAUUCGGGAGAGGAAUGCGGAAUUCCAGGUGUAGCGGUGAAAUGCGUAGAUAUCUGGAGGAACACCGGUGGCGAAGGGCGGCGUUUCUGGACGGUGACUGACGCUGAGGCGGCGAAAGCGUGGGGAGCAAACGGG